rnacentral:sRNA from 1 species
AGAAACGUUUGGAGAAGUGAUGGGACCGGCUUGCAUAUAUGAUAGCGAAACGCAUCGAAGCCCGCCGAUCGGCUAUGAAUACAUGACAAUUCCCCUUCUAAUUUCUCCGUCGAAGAUGAUCACACAAUCUUCGAACAAUAGUUACGCAGCGCGUAACUAGGCUACCGAACCCCAAAAGCAUUGUAACUACCGAAGCUACAUCAAAAUGUUCUUUGAAGCAGGCGAUCAAUGCAUCUGAUCAUUGGGCUCAAAUUUGAUGCUUAAAGAUGUAGGCGCUAGACACAUUGUCGAAUCUUGAAAGGAAGGCGAACACACCUUAUCUAAAUGAAGCGUAUUCCUGACGAACCCCUCGGCAGAUUUUGAUCCGAAGCUUUGCACAAAUGAAAAAGAAAGAAUAGCUGGAC